GAAGAAACCCGCCGGCUGCUGGGGCAGGGCGGCGAAAGGUCAGUCGGCCGAGAGGAGUCCGUGGAGCCACCGUUUCAUAGCCUCAGGGAAAGGAUCGGGCGUGCUCACGAGCCCUCUAACCCAUGGCUUAAACACCCGCUUCCUAAGCCUGGGUUCUUAUGCCUUUGUUUGAAAAACAUGGUUCCCUGUGAAAUUUUACAUGUAGAAGAAAGCUUCACACUACGAGAGCUCUCAGGAUAUAAUUAUUUCAGACAGAUACUGGGAACAUAAGAUGGCUUAUCAAUCUAAGAUGGCCUUCCUGUCCUUCGGAUUGAACUGAAACCAUCCCUGAUUCCAGGGAUAGGUAGAUGAUCCAGGUUUGGACAAUCAAAAUAUUGAACCACCCUGGACCUACAAGUGUUUCUGGGAUGGGAACAUGCAAACGUUGGUCCAAAUUGUUGUUCUAGGCAGCCCAGUACAUUUCUCCAAUGCCUGAUGGAAUGAUAGGGUAUGCAUAAAUGUUCAUGUGGGCUCUGGAGUAUACCAGGAACUGAAGUAAGGUACAUGGACGUCUUGAAUAUUGUAACUGAGAUGGGCAAGCCUACACCUUUGCAAAUAAAGGAGGAUUGGGAAAGAUUAAGAAUGAUUGAGUCUCAGAAUUGUUCUUUAAUCCUCAGUAUUUCCAUUAAGAAGAGCUUCUAUCAAGUGCUUCAAAAGUACCCAAUGUGAAGGAGUAAUAAUGACUCCCUGCUGGUGAGCGAAGUGUGGAGGACACAGGUCCCUCAGCCGUCCACUGGAUGCUGCACUGUUUGGCCUGAGCCAACAUGGGCAGAAAUACAGGCGGCAGCAUAAGCAGAUGCCAAGAACCUGUCUUGCUUCUACUGUUUUCAUUGGGUUACUAUAUCUCCUUUGUAGUCCAACCUGCAAAUUACUUUGAGAAGGGGAGAUACACCCCUGGACCAAUCUAGGACUAUAUUUGUUCCCUUGCUAAAGUAGGAAAAAAAAUACAGAACCUUUAAAUAUUGAACUCAAGGGCAACUAAUUUAAAUUCCUUUCCUUUCAUGUUGAAAGUCUUUUGACUGGGUUAUUCUGAAGCCAUAGCAAUUAGGUUACAGUUUACUUCUCUGUUACUUUACCAUCUUUAAAUUUGGCACCUUCAAAAGGUUGUUCUGUGCGUUUAAAAAAAAAAAGGAACUACCGUUGGAUAUUGUAUUGUUGAUGACCAUUAUUUGAUUCUGGAUUCUUUUGUGUGUUUGUGUUUGGGUGUUUUUGGUUGUUGUUUGUUUGUUUUCUAGAGACGGGGGGUCUCACUAUGUUGUCCAGACUAGAUUCGAGCCCCUGAGCUCAAGGGAUUCUCCAGCCCCAGCCUCCCGAGUAGCUGGAACUGCAGGCACCCGCCACCACGCCCAGGGACAGUUACUUGAUUCUUAAUAGUCCAGUCAUAAUGAGACAGGAUACUGCAUAAGCCAAAGACCACACAAAGUAUCAAUGUUAAGUAUCAAGAGGGUGUGGAGGAAGUGGGUUACAACCACUUUGUCUCCCAACUGUUGUAUGUUUUGCCUUUAAAAAUUUUUUUAAGUACGUUAAAUUCUAAUGUACUCAGAUGUGGCUGAAACAAUGACAAAACAUUAGUUUUCUUUAAAUAUGCGUGACUUUUAAGCUUUUUCCCUUUCCCAGUGACUUGCUUCUCCACUAAGCUCUUUUUUUCUUUUUUUUUUUUCCUCAAAUAUUAUUGUUUCAUGUCACUGUGACAAGUUUAGUCUACUGGAAAUUCCUAUGUCCUCUGUAAUUUAGGUUUUAAGCAACAUAUGAUUUAUCUUGUUAUUUUAAAAAAACUAUCUGCCUUCCCUAAGUGGGCAACUCUCUGGCAUCCUUAAUAUUCUUCUAUAGAAAUUGUGAUGAAAGAACAGAUAAGCCUAAGUAAAUCUAGCGUGUGGAGCUCCUUUAAAAUGUGAAGACCUUGCCAACUGGUUAAAAAUAAAACUUGGUUUUGUCCUAAAUAUCCUUGCUGGGCCUAUUAUACAUAAAAAAAGGGGCCACAGCCCAUUUGCAAGGCUUCUGAAUGAACUCCAUUCAUUCUGUACUUGGAAAUGUCUCUUCAGCCACAAAAAGAAACAAUAGUUAUAACCUAAUUUCUUUGGUGCCAAUAUCAGCAGAAGAAGAGCCAAGAGACCAUUAUGAAAACUCUAGUAAGUUCUCUUGGUGAUUAUAUAAUGCUGUAUUCAUUGAUCAUAUUUCUGUAUUUAAAUAAGUACAUUUUUUAAAACAUCAUAAAGUGGAUCAGUAAUGCUGUAAUAUCACAUUUCAUGUAUUAUACAACAUUUUUGAAAUGGAGUACUCCAAAGUAAUUUGCUUCUUAUGGUUACCAAAGUUUAAAGAAUACCCUAACAUGCACUCCAAGAUUUUAAGAGGAAAGGCUUUGUGUUUUUCAUUACUGUAUUUUGAAAUCUGAGAGUGCAAAACUAGUUUUCUUAGGUAAACCCCGUAAUCAGUUUCCACAUUUACCUGUAAAAGUCAGUGGAGGGCAUACAUCUGGAAGUAGUAGUGGCGGUACACAAUGUGUGUUAAUAUGAUUUCCAAGGGGUAUCUAGAGUAAACUUUCUUAAUCACAGAUCUGAUCUGAGCAUGCCACUCCUUUCUUAAAAUCUUUUGUUGAUUUUCCAUUUCCCUAAAAGGAAGGCCCACUGGAGCAUGGGCCUUGCAAAGUCCUCUUUCUGGCUUCUGCCUGCCUGCCUUUUCAGCUUCAUCUCUGCCAUCUUCCCUGAAUGAACUUUUGUCAGUGGCCUCGCUCUUUCUACCUAUGAGAUGUUGUUUCUGCAUGUUCUUGCAUGGAAUUCUCUUCCUCCCAACCCUGUUUCAUUCCUUUAAUCUGUACAACUCUUUCUUAUCCUGAAGUCUUUAUGUUAAGGUUGCCUUUUCAGGAAGACUUUUAAUUGUAUUAGCUAAUUAAUUAAUUAAUAGUCUGAGGUAUUUGGAGCUGAGAUUCUAUGGGGAUUAGUUGCUGGAGGGUAGUUUAGAGCCAGAUUGUGAAGGACUUUCUAAACUGUGCUUUCAAGGUUUUGAACAGGAAAAUGAUGUAGACUUUCUGUUUUUUGUAAGUUUGGAGGAUGGCUUGUGUCUUAAAAGAAUAUGUAACAUAACCAUCUAAUUUGUGAGUAGUGGACUAAGGAAACACCACUCUAACCUUUUUCUCUCUGCGAUAAUCCCAUCUUCAGCCUCUCAAGCACUGUGAAAAAUCACUUUCUCUUGUUGUAUUCUUGGAGCCCCUGCUAAUUCAUUAUUGAAAAAUACCUGCUGCCUGCAUUUGGCCUUAUGUUGUCAUUUACUUGGUACUUCCUAAGCGUGGCUACUCCAAUGAAGCUUUAGUAUAUGUACUGAAAGAAGAUCCUCUCAUACUGCCACAGCCAAGAGAUAAGGUUGUAAAUCUUUAUUGGGAGAAGCCGUCAAGGACAGUUCUGUGAAAUGAAAGGAUCUCUGGAUCACCACAAAGUCUGGCUCAGUGACUAUGGCUUUGCAAACACUAAACAUUCCUGUCUCAAGUCCUGUAGAUGGCUUGAAAUAGUAUACAUAAGCAUGCCUUAUAAACAUCUUCAGUCUUUAUCAACUCUUUGGAGAUUCAGCCAUUCUUUUUUGUACUUUAGGGAAUUAAAUCAUUUUAUAAUGUAUAAAUCUGAGCAUGGCCGAUGGCAGAAGA
ensembl:lncRNA DPH5-DT DPH5 divergent transcript